rnacentral:SRP_RNA from 2 species
GCUGGGCGUAGUGGUGGGCGCCUGUAAUUCCAGCUACUUGGGAGGCUGAGGCAGGAGAAUCACUUGAACCCAGGAGGCGGAGAUUGCAGUGAGCCGAGAUCGUGCCACUGCACUCCAGCCUGGGUGACAGAGUGAGACUCUGUCUCAA